CUAAAGACUAUUAAGUGAAUAUGCUAUGCCACGAUAUCCACAGGAAAAUCCAAACUCAGGUUUAAAUGUACAUGUAUGCAAGUGUUAUAAUCGCUAUUGUUCCAAAACAAAUCAUCUGAUAAUUACGAAUAUUAACGCGUCAAUGGCUGUGUUUCUAGAAUUGUAUAACAUUUGCCCGUGGCUUGAUCGGACAUGCCCUGGAGCGGGGGUCCAAAAAUAGCCAAAUGAAGCGAAAACAACCGAGUCAUCGUGACGUUCAGAGAGCCCUCUUGCAGAAUGGGAAUGAAAAAGAUUUGAGCCCAGCCUCCGGAUGAUCAUAAUAAAAUGGGACUCGAGUGGAAUGGAAUGGAAGCAUAACUAGUUUAACUUGGGUGCAGUUGAUUGACUUGCAAAUGGAAGAUUUUUAUGCACUACCCGAAGGUCAACCGGGUGUCGGCCGCCUCUGCCUGCCCCUCUCGGGAUUACCGUUGCAUACACUUGAACUUGAGAGCGAGUUUCCACUCUCUGAGUGGAGUGGAUCUUUGAUUCCAGUCCCACUGCUGAUUUUGUCAUGCAAAUGUCGGGCAAUGUCACGUGAGACGACUGCUAAUCGUUUGCCAAAAUCGUAUGCGCC
rnacentral:sRNA from 1 species